UUGGAGCAACUUGUAAUUUACCAUUAAAAAACAGGAAAACGCCCCCUGGGAACCUAGCUGAGCGAACAAGCAGUGAGGUUUUUUCUCGUUGUUGGAAGAACAUCGAUCAAAGCUCCUCUCAAAUAUCAUCUCUAUCCUCUUUUCACAGUGAGGUUGUAAAAGCUUCAUAGAGGCACAUAGUUACCAUAUUCAGCUGGAAGCAUCUUUAUAUAGAAUAUCAUCAUUUCUUUGCUCCACCUGUCUUUUUGAUAGCAACUUAAAAUGGCUGGGAGAAAUCGUAUUCCUCGUGAGGCCUAUAAUGAACGUCGUGGCUUCCCCCCAGAGAGACCUUUAAUUCGCGGCCCUCCUUUGCCACAUCCACCUCCUCAUCGUACAUUGUUGGAGGAUGAACUUGAAAUACAACAUGCUGAAAUCCAUGGGCUCCUGGUUGAUAAUCGCCGGCUGAUUGAAGAUCGAAUGGCUCUACAGCAAGAGCUUGGUGCUGCCAAGGAGGAACUUCAUCGCAUGAAUCUUGUCAUAGCUGAAAUUCGUACAGAAUAUGAAGUGCACUCGAGGGAGCUUAUUGAAAAGGGCUUGAAGCUGGAGGCUGAUCUUCGUGCUACUGAACCUUUGAAGAAUGAGGCUGUACAACUCCGUGCAGAAGUUCAGAAACUGAAUAAUGUAAAGAAGGAACUCCUUGGGGAAAUUCAGACCCUCAAACAAGAACUUGCAAGAUCACAAGCUGAUAACCAACAGAUUCCUGUUUUGCAGGGUGAGAUUGAGGGCCUGCACCAGGAGCUUAUGCAUGCUAGAACUGCUAUUGAUUAUGAAAAGAAGGCAAACAUUGAGUUGGUGGAGCAGAGACAGGCAAUGGAGAAGAACAUGAUUUCUAUGGCACGUGAAGUUGAAAAGCUACGGGCUGAACUUGCUAGUGCUGAUGCUCGACCCUGGGUUACUGGUGGGCCAUAUGGGAUGAAGUUCGGUAAUCCAGAGAGGGGAAUUCCUGCACCUUAUGGGGAUCGAUAUGGGGUUCAUGUGGUUGCUGCUGACAAGGGUCCUUUGUAUGGCCCUGGUCCUGCUUCAUGGGAUAAGACCCAUAUGCCUCGUCGUUGAGAUGGUUGCUGUUCAAAUUUAAAAGGGCAAAGUUGUUAUUGUGGCUGCCUAUUAUCCUGUUGAAUAUCUCAGUAGGCGAGAAGUACCUUUCAUCUUUGUGUGCAUGCCAACCAGUACUCUUUUAUCUGAAUACAUUAUUGAAAACUGGUUGUGAAGGCAGAGAAAGUCAGGUAUUUUCUUUUUUUUAUUACUAUUCCUUUUUUUUUUAUACCAGCCCUUCCACCUAGGAGUGAGCUGUAUUCGGCUCAGACCAAAAUAACCAACCGAACCGAAUAAAUUCAGAAUUUGUUUCGGUUUAUUUGAAAAAUCGAUUUGGUUUCGAUUUUUAAAAUUUGCAGUUUAUUCAAUUUGGUUCGGCUUUUAAAGAUGAAAAAAAUUGGUCGAACCAAACUGAGCCAAAAUAAAUAUUAUUUAAAAAGUCCUAUUAUUCUUAUGUAGCAUGUGGCUUAGUGGCUAAGAGGUGAUAUAAACCCGACAAGUUCUAGUCUUGCAAUCUGCAUCAUGCUUUUUUGUUUUAACAACUUAACUUUCUAAAUAAAUAACGUCUGUCCAUUUAAAAAGAUUUGAGCCGAUAAAUCAUUAUUAUAUAUUUAUAAGUUUCUCACUUCUUAUUCUCAGAAAACCUUAGCCACCCAUGCCUAACGCCACCUCUGUUCAUCUCCCUCUUCUCCCUUCUUUUCCUCUCUUCUACUCCUCUUCGUUUCAUCUUAUUUUUGUCCUCAUUUCGCCGCAUAGAAAUUAGAAAGGCCAUUGACGCCGCUGCCAUAGAGAAAGGCCAUCGAUGCCGCUGCACCUCAUUUCUGUUCUUCUAUUCUUUGUGUUCUUCAAGGGAUUUGGAGGACCUUUGAGGUCUACAGUGUCAGUUUAUUUGCGAGAGAUUUGAAGGACCUAUAGUCUGCGUCCAUGUUUAGAUUCGGAGGAUCAACAGUUCUUGGUUGUUUUGAUUUACUGAAUUUUGAGAUGUGUAUUUAGUUGUUAUGCUGAUAAUUUAUCAGGGCCUAUUUGACAACUCUUUUAACUAUUUUCCUAUUUUAUAA